UCUCUAUUAGUAAUUGUGUAUUAUGUGAUUACUUAUUAACAUUUAUUUAUUUAUUAUUUCCUUUUACCUUUGAAUUAUGUUAUUGAUUACUGCUUCAAGAAUUAAGGUUAAUCAAUCUUUUGGUUGGAUCAACAAAUAUGGUUAUCAUGGUUAUGUUAAAUAGAUGUUUAUACAUGUAUUUAUCUUCAACUUGCAUUCAAACUUGCAUAGGGUAAAGCAUUUCUUUACUAAUUAAAAAAUGAUUCCUGCACGAAUCCGAUUCUUAACAUCAUAAAUCAUAUGUUUCCCUCGUAAAAACAUAUAUGGUUUUGCCAUUUUGACGAUGGGCUGUGUUGUUCCUUACUCGCUAUCUUCACUUCAUGGUUCUAAUUAAUUUUCAUCAAGGUUUAUACUGUUAAUUAAAUUUAAUUCACCUAAUUACCACCGCCUAAUGACGGGUCGUGAUUAGGUGAAAAAAGUAUUACUGGAAGGAGAAGAGGAGGCGGAGGAGGAGGAUUAAUAAGGAGACAAGCUAAGGUGGUAAUUCAUCAAGUAUACAUUGGCCCAGUUUACCAACUAUUAAAAAGCAAAUUAAAACCAUUUUAAUUCAAUUAAUAAUAUCAAUUUGGAUCCUAUUCAAUCUUUGGGAGGCAUGAAAAAAAGCAUGAGAAAAAGGUGUUAGUCUUCUUGCUCAUCAUCAUCAUCUUCGUCAUUAUCAUCGUCCUCUCUUCUUAAAUGUUGUUGACUAAAGGGAACUGAUUGGGCGGAUGUGUUAUUCGUAUGUAAUUCGCCCAACAAAGAACGCCUCAUUUGUAGCUUUACUUUAGCUUUGGACUAUCAACAAACAUGACCAGGUACAUCUUGAGGAAAGAGAGGCUGACCUGUAAUCUUGUGUGAUGAAUAUUGUUCAAUAAAUGCCUCUGGAGACUAAAAGCAAAUGAUGAUGAAAGAGGAAAAGAAAGAGAGGUAAAAAAAGGUUAGAGGCACCUAAUAUUUGGUAUCGGUUCUUUGAUAAUUAAAGGAACGUUUCUCCAAAUGACGCACCCAACGAUGAAGAUGAAACUAUUUUCUUCAUCAUUUUCUUUACUAUAUAUCAUUAUGUGAAAGACUGUCUUUAGAUGAAACGGGUCAUCUUCACAAUAACGAAAAGCCAAACAAAAAUGCAUGACUCUAUGCUUUUUUCAUCUAUUAUCAUCAUUAUCCUCUUCACUACCUUUACUUUUAUCAUCAGCACAGUUUUUCGUUGGUUGGUUAAAAAAUCUUGAGUCAAGUCUGAUGAACAAAAAGAGAGGAACAAGAAAGGAGAUAAAUAUUGAUGAGAAUAAGUUGCAUUCAUUUUUAAACAAGGCAACAUAAAAUGUGAUAAUUAGAGAAAUGAGAAGUGUAAUCUGUAAUUAUUACACCGAUUUAGUUAGCUCAGAAAGCAAACUUUAUCAUGAUUAUAAGGUUCUCUGUCAAUUAAUGAUGGCAAUUUUACGUUUAUCUGUGAAUAGUUGGCCUUCUAUCAUUGCUAAUUGACCGUUGCAAUUGCAAUUAACUUGUUACCAUUUUGACAGAUCACACAGCAUAUAUUUUUCUGGCUCUACCAAGCUAAAAAAGCAAAUCAAUUUGGAGCAAGCUACGAAAUAUGAUACCGAUGGUGAUCAACUUGAACAGCCCCCAUAUUGGAGUAAAUUUUUGUGAAUUGAUUUGUUAACCAUUUCUUUGUGAAAAUCCUUUUAUCCUGAUUCUCAUGAGGUCUAGAUUAAGAAGUUUAAACAAAAAUUACACCAAAUAAGUAAACAAAUCAUCAUCAUCAACAACAUAA